GUACACGCUGUGACUAGCAUAUCAAUAAGCGGAGGAAAAGAAACUAACAAGGAUUCCCCUAGUAACGGCGAGUGAAGCGGGAAGAGCUCAAAUUUGAAAUCUUAAAGGGUUUCCCUUUACGAAUUGUAGUUUAAAGAAGUGUUUUCUGUUGAGGUUUUCGGUAAAAGUUCUUUGGAAUAGGACAUCAUAGAGGGUGAGAAUCCCGUAUUUGACCUUUACUUUCAACUUUGUGAUACACUUUCAAAGAGUCGGAUUGUUUGGGAAUGCAGUCCAAAAUGGGCUGGUAAAUUUCAUCUAAAGCUAAAUAUUGGCGAGAGACCGAUAGCGAACAAGUACCGUGAGGGAAAGAUGAAAAGAACUUUGAAAAGAGAGUUAAACAGUACGUGAAAUUGUCAAAAGGGAAGCGUUUGACACCAGUGUUGUUUUUCUGAAAAUCAAUUAAAGAACUGUUUAUGCUAAGCUGUUUAGACUUUAUCAGCUAUCUGUUUAGUUUUGAGCUUUUCUUUAAUGCACUUUUCAGUUAACAAGUCAACAUCAAUUUCUUUUGCAGUAAAAAAGCUUGAGGAAGGUGGCUUGAGAUUCGUCUUAAGUGUUUAUAGCCUCUUGCCUAUGCAGUCGGAGAGAUUGAGGUCUGCAGCGUAGAUCCUUCGGGGCUAAAUGCAUUUGUGCUAAGUUAUAGCAUUUUAUAGACAACUUGUUGACUAUGAUUUGUCUUGUAGCUUACUCGCUUAUGUUAUUUUACCUACGCUUAGGAUGUUGAAGAUGUAGCACAUCAU
rnacentral:rRNA from 1 species